rnacentral:rRNA from 1 species
CAUGCAGUCGAGCGGUAACACAGAGGAGCUUGCUCCUUGGGUGACGAGCGGCGGACGGGUGAGUAAUGCCUGGGGAUCUGCCCGAUAGAGGGGGAUAACUACGGGAAACUGUAGCUAAUACCGCAUAAUGUCUACGGACCAAAGUGGGGGCUCUUCGGACCUCAUGCUAUCGGAUGAACCCAGGUGGGAUUAGCUAGUUGGUGAGGUAAUGGCUCACCAAGGCGACGAUCUCUAACUGGUUUGAGAGAAUGACCAGUCACACUGGAACUGAGACACGGUCCAGACUCCUACGGGAGGCAGCAGUGGGGAAUAUUGCACAAUGGGCGCAAGCCUGAUGCAGCCAUGCCGCGUGUGUGAAGAAGGCCUUCGGGUUGUAAAGCACUUUCAGCGGGGAGGAAGGGUCACUAGUUAAUACCUAGUGGCAUUGACGUUACUCGCAGAAGAAGCACCGGCUAACUCCGUGCCAGCAGCCGCGGUAAUACGGAGGGUGCAAGCGUUAAUCGGAAUUACUGGGCGUAAAGCGCACGCAGGCGGUUUGUUAAGUCAGAUGUGAAAUCCCCGAGCUCAACUUGGGAACUGCAUUUGAAACUGGCAAGCUAGAGUCUUGUAGAGGGGGGUAGAAUUCCAGGUGUAG